rnacentral:tRNA from 1 species
GUCAGUGUGCCCGAGUGGUUAAGGGGCGUGACUCGAACCCAACGACUUUAUUGGUUGAUGGUGCGUGAUCACGUGGGUUCGCCCGCAUAGGUUCAAAUCCUGUCGCUGACG